rnacentral:lncRNA from 1 species
UUAGAAAGUGGGAUAGCUUCUUCAUCCUAACUCCUAUGAGAUUUAUUCAACUUUCUGGUGAAUUUUCACUACUUUAUGUAUCAAAAUAAAGCUUCUUACACCGCGAUUCAUCCUGGUUUGAAUAGAAUGACGAAGAAGUUGUCAUAUUCCCAAACAAGAAAACUGGGAUCACCUGAUUUGAAAGUGGGAUAGCUUCUUCAUACUAACUCCUAUGAGAUUUAUUCAUUUUCCUGGUGAUUCUCCACUACUUUAUGUAUCAAAAGCAAGCUUCUUAC